rnacentral:sRNA from 1 species
UGAUUGCUCUCGUCUCUACUUGAUUUGU